rnacentral:snRNA from 1 species
AAAAAAAUCUUAACCCGUGGGUGAAUCCAUUCUGACUACAUGUGUCAUCCUUGUGCAGGGGCCAUGCUAAUCUUCUCUGUAUCGUUCCAAUUUUAACGUAUGCACCGCCGAAGCGGGCGU